UAAAACACCAGGUUAAGUAGGGUGUGUGUUAGAAGAGGGUCCAGUGCAUAAUUAGGAAUAACCGAAUUAUGACAGUUUGGAGUGGGAGUUAACUCUGGAGGUGCUGUUUGAUCAGUCUUCCUGGAUUUUAGGCGGCUCAAUAAUGAAGAGGACCAUCUGCGCCCACAGACCAUCUUGUGGGUGCAGCUCAUGAAUCCAGUUUUAGGGGGACACCAGGAGCUACUGAAUGUUGGGACGUGGAGAUCGAAUCAACUAGAGGUCUCAUCACACUUCAUCAUCUAGAGCUAAUCGUCAACAGACAUUCUCUGGAAAGCCCCUCAUACAGUCACCGACCACUUCCUGACGGAGUGCCAAAGCUGAGCCUUGCCCUGGAGCUGCUUCUUCACUGCUGCCAUCAGAUCUUCUGUCAGUUGACUGUGGCCAGACCUUUUUCCCGACUCACACAUCUGCGGUCACUGCAGUAA
rnacentral:lncRNA from 1 species